CUUCAAAUCAAAUGGUCCGCAGAACUACCUCCUCCUGCAUGGCCCCCUCUGUGGUCAGCCUUCUCUGCAUAGCCCUGGUGUUUACUUACGUUAAUAUUCUCUGGCCUCUUCUGACUGGAUGCUUUGAUAUGAUGCCAGGAUUCCUUACCCCUUCCUAGAGCACACAUGUGGGAUUUCAGGCCCAGCAACCCCCUCACAUCUAAGACUAUAGCAUCGUGGAGUCAGCACCCACAGUCCACCAGGGCUGGCACCCACCAGGGCUGGCAUCCACCAGGGCUGGCAUCCACCAGUGCUGGCAUCUACCAGGGCUGGCACCCACCAGGGCUGCAUCCACCAGGGCUGGCACCCUCAUGUCCGAGGGCAGAAGCCAAUGAAGCAAUAUUCUGAGGGAAUGCUGCCUGGUCUCCUUAGUGACAUAUUUUCUUUCCAGAUAGCCAUGCCCCAAAUAAACCAUCUAGAGAUACUGCUUUUCAGCACAUGCCACACAGAGGGUGGUCGGUAGAUACAGGACGAGGCCUGUCUUCUGUGCCACUAUUCCUCCCUGUAGACCCUGAUGGGCUGUGAGUCUUGGACCCAAACCAUGCUGAAGGGACAGUAAGAGACCCACUGCAGCCCCUUCUCUAUCCCGCUGCAGCUGUUGGCUGAGAGUUGUGGGUAACCUGGCCUUCUGAUGCCUUCCUUUACCACUGUUCCUUCUCUGGUAGCCGAGGUGUUUUAUUUUGGUUUGCUCCCCCCACCCUUAAAAAAUUCUAGCCAGCGUUGAAGUCAGCAAAGUAUUUGUGAAAUGAAAGUGACAUCUUGCUGCUCUGUUUACUAACUGCAAGUUUCAGCUUCAAAGCAGGGUGACACACUCGAUUCCUUUUGCUCUGCCCACAAACCCUGACAUUUUCAAAUAGAAAAAAGAUAGAAACAAGAUAGAACAUCUGAAAAGUCCUGAAAUGUGUUUUGCAGGAAUAGCUCUGAGCUCUAUCAAAGCAUCAUGGUGGGCAAGACCAAGGGGUGUCGUGUGACUCCUCAAAGCCACCCCACGCUGUGAGCAGUUAGUUGGCUUUGCAUCACUACAGUGAAACGCUGCUUACAGUCAUUCGGGGGUUUGGUGUCCUUGAAGCUUUGUGGGUGUGGGCCGUAAGAGAAAGUGACUGGUUGAGGCAGGAGCACAUUUGAAACGUAGCAUGAGCAGAAAGCAGAGAGAGGAUGAAAUCAGGGUGCCACAGUUCCCAGGGACUCAAGGACCUCCUGUUGGGCCUCUUCCCAAACUCCCAUAGCAGCUCCUAGCACAGCUAUCAGGACCUCAAUGAACCCUUGGGUACAGUCAUCAGCCAGCCAUAUUAGUCUCAUUAGUAAACAUGAAAGAAUUAGAAUUGGUUUGUAGAAGCUCUUGAAUGGUAGCCAUGCAACACACUUCCAACAGAAUGAUUAAACACAUAGGCUUAAGGUAUGGCCGGACUUAAACUCAAAAGCCCUGAAAAGGUGGCCUCUGUUUCUCCUUCCUGUGUAAGAUAGUGAUGAUCUUAGAAUUUCCCUAAAAAACAAAUGAACGACUUGUGUAAGCGUGUAAUGCAUUAGCACAUACUUAGCUGUGGUCAGCACCGCCAUUUAACAUGGGCCUUUUUAGUCAGCCAUGUUGCUUACGUGUUGUUAGUCGAUCAGCAAGGACUUCCGUGUGCUAGACACAGAGCUGAGCACUAGACUAGAGAUUCUCUGUUUUCGGUAAUCUCAGCACUGCGCGGUGAUCUCACUAUUACUGUCUGGCUUGGUGAUGCCAGGUAAAGGUAGGAUGCUCUGCCAGCACCGAGAAGGGGUCUUGUUUUAAGAUGGCUGAUCAGCCUGGUGCAGCCUUAUGUCCUUUGUGAUUGUAAGUACAAUGAAGGACCUUGAGGAACAGUUAACUGCCCCUCUAACAGCCUCGCUUCAUGUUGUAGUGAAAGUAAAUUCAGCCACGAAGCUGAGAACUCAUUAAAUAAACACCCAUUCAGAAGUAGAUUAAUGCAACCUAUUUUCAGACUUUGCAGUGCCUCGGCUCUGAGAUUCAGAUAUCUGACUACCAUUAGAAAAGGGGCGCCACCACAAAAGCAGGGGUCCGUUACUCUUCUAAUCCACUUCAUCUGAAGAAGCUUCUGGCCAAGGUGUGGUAGCAUCUUUAAUGCCAGCACUCAAGAGGCAGAGGCAGAUGGGUCUUUAUGAGUUCGAGUCUAACCUGGUCUAUAUAGUGAGUUUCAGACCAGUCCAGGAUGCAUUGUGUCAAAGUGAGAAAAAAAAAAAAAACAAACUUCCCAAACCAUGGCUGGGUACACAUGGCCCUUGGCGUCAUUUUUUUUUCUUCCUUUUAGUGAUUUAUUUUGAUAAAAGUUGUCAAGUUGUACACUUAUUCCUUCCCCAUGCAAGAGUGGGUACAACUUCUCAAGUAUCCUUCCUUACCUACAGAUCUUGAACAGAUUUUAUUUUAUCAGUGAGAGCCUAUUUCCAGUAUUUACUGUAUUAAUUAACAAGCCAUUAAUUUUUAGCAGUUAAGACUCUUUUGGAAGCUGCAGUCGGGAAUUCACAUUAAAUGGCCACUCCUGGGGUGUGAGCUCUUCCUUAGAGCCAGUCACCACCUGAGUUGAAGCCUAGGUGUACCAGCACACCUCUUUACCACAUCAUAUGUGUGGUGUGGGUGCCUAUCCCAGGAUGGCAGGGAAGGUUUCCCAGAGGAAAGAGAGCUUGAUCUGGCCUGAAAUAAUAGGGGAUAUGUCCCAGGAAGACCUGAGUCAGCAAGGCUGGGUGCGGGGGUGGGAGCAGGCUGUAUAUGUCUUAAAUACAAAAGCACAAGAAGGUCUGGGGGAGACUGUGGGGGUCCAGGUCACAGAGCCCCCGUCUGUGGCGGCUUCUUAGUGAAGGAAAGGAAUUUCCACCCAUGGUCUGUUGAAAGGCAGAACAGCAUGGUUGUCAGGGUAGAAAAAUGCCCUAACCUGAGGCUGUACGAGUGAAAUCUCCCCACCCCUUGGAAACUCUCUAAUGUCCCCCAAGUCUCAGUUAUUUGUCAUUUGAGCACAUAGCACCUGAACUUACCUGUUAAGGAAUGUCACUCAUCAGACUGCGUGCCUCCUGAGGGUAGGACUGACUUUGUGUCUGAUCUUACAAGGAUAAGGACCGAGCAGGCACUCGAUUGUUGUCCAAACUGUGGUCAAAUAAACGAGAGGUCUGUGGAAGAGAUCCCUCAGGGUAUGGGUUGUACGUAGAAAAUGAGUGGGGGAAGGAAGUGUGUGGCCCUGACAACCAGAGGAAGAAGAGCCAAACAUUGUUGCUAGCCGAGGCUCCUGUCUCCAGAAUAAUCUACAGUAUACGAAGGGAAGGUUCUCUGAGGAGCAGUGUGAAACUUAACGUGUGGGCAUGUGUGUGUGUAGGCAUGUGUGUGUAGACAUGCAUGUGGGCAUGCGUGUAGGUAUGUAUGUGUGUGUGUGUGCAUGUGUGUGUCCAUUACAUACAUCCUCGUUGGUCCUUGACUAUAGUCCCUCUCCCAAAGAUCCUCUGUCAGAUGAAAAUGGCCAUCAUGUCUGGCAAACAGUGGCUGACAAAGUGACAUGUGUAAGAGACACAAAGGAAGAAGCUGAAUGUAUCUGCUGCAGAGUCUCUUAAACUCUGUGACUGAAGGGCGUACUCAUGGACUCCCCAUUAGACCUGCCGAGAGUCGGUUCAGUCAGGAGGAGGGAGGAGCAAUGCUUUUUAUCCUGGUCUCCUGCGUUGGAACUCCUGCUCUCCAGACACUGCCGACCGGCUGCCAGCUCACCUGCUCCCUGAUAUACCCUUUAAAAACACCUUUAUUGAUUUCUCAGUGUGUUUAGGGUUUUUGUUUUGUCUUAGCUUUAAAUUUUUUUUUCAAGAAGCAUGCUUUGUGUUGCUUUUGGGCUUACUGUUUGUAUCUUUGCUUUUCUGGUUCAGUUUCUGAUUUAAACCAGCUAAUUCCAGUUGUAUCGGUCAGGUUUGUUAUACGUGCUGUGUGCAUUGCGUGCGUGUCAUACCCUUUAGAAUUGGUUGUGAGAAGAUGUGAAAACAGGCAUUUAUUUAGUAUUUUACGGUUACACAGUUACCUUUCCCGGUUCUCCUUGUUUACGUGCAUUUGAAAUUUCUAAAAUGAUUUUCACUCUGAAGAGCCCGCUUAGCCCCUCUUGUCAGAGACGUAGGCAGGCGUGGGCAUUAGUACUGAGUACCUUGUGGGGAUCAGAGAACGGCUAACCUCCAGGAGUUGGUUCUCUCCUUCCACCCUGGGUUCCAGAUCCACUCAGGAGGUCGGGACCUUGAGACAACACUCUAACGGCCGAGCCACGUCUGCAGGCCUCCGAGGUUUCGAUUGAUCUAGGAAAGCCCUUACUUCACAUCCACUUUUAGAAGACAGCUUUGCUAGAUGUAGGCAUCUCAGCUGCUAGGUGUUUUUUUGAAGGUUUUGAAUGUUACCUCCCGGGCUCCUGGCCACCAUUGUUGCUGCCGUCAAUCUUAGGGCUCAUCCCAUUUACCCCCUAGAAAUGACUAGUGCUUUCCACUUUGUCUUUUACUUUCCAAGCUUGUGGCUCCGUUUUAUCGUUUUAUGGUAUCGUUCAUUCAUAUCCUGCUCAGAGUCCAUUGAGCUGACUGAAUGUGAACAUUACUACUUUUCAGUGAACUUGGAAAUUCUGAGGGUUAACUCCCAAGUUUUCACUUAGCUUCUGUAUAUAUGUUUCUUUGUUGGCGUUCUCCACGGGCCAUGGCAGGCAUCACACCGUCCUGUGUUUUCUUAUCUCCUGCUCCCCUGACGUCAUGAGCACAUAUAUCCGGACUGCUUUGAAGCUGGAUGUGAGAUCUGGGGCCCAGCUCCUCUUGUGUUUGGUUGCAGCCGUUUCUUUGGUUAAUGCUUUCCUAUGUGUGCACACCUUGUGGUUUGUAGUGGGAUCUGAACAUUUGAGAAUGGUGUACUUGCCCAUCUGCCCCCGGGGCUCACUACUAUUUUAUUAUGUUCUGGUGAUGGGUUGGGAUAAUUUAGUAAAGCUUAUUUUCCUCCACUGUUAAUGGCGUGACUUACUCUCCCAGAAAGGUAGCCAGACGCAGCUGUGUCUUUCUACAGUGUCACAAUGUAUCAAAUAGCACUAACUUCACAGCCUACAUUUCAUUUGCUAAGUAGUUUUGAUUUCUCUUUUUAGCCAGCUGUUGGUAAAGCCAGACUUUUACAUUUCCAUCUUAAUUAUUAAUAUUAACGGUCAGGUCUGUAUUCAACAUCACAUGAUUGGCAGAUGUGUGCCUCACAGAAUGGCUACAGACGAAUCAAAGAGACCAAGAGGCUUGAAUGGAAAUAGAGGUGGAGAGCCAGUGCAGACCCACACAGGGCUACAGAGCAGGCUGCAGGGGAAGAGCUAAGCUGAGGCCCCAGGACAGUUGGGAGUUCUCUGUCCUGUUGGCGAAUUCCUUACCUUACACACUGGGUGGUCAAAUGGCAGGUAAGGGGGUCCAUCACUGUCAGUGUUAGAUGUGGGGUCUGUAAAGGAGAGCGCACUAGAAACAUCAAACUAGGCUGUUCUGUGGAUAGAAAGAAAUGUUUAUUUGGGGGAAAUCAAACUGCCGUGGCUAUCUCCAGUGGAGGGGAGCAGGCAGAGAAUAGCAAAAGGCAGGGAAAGCGUUGCCAGUUUUAAAGAGACAGGUGAUGGGAGGGAGCCUGUAGUGGAACAGGCUGUGAGUUAGAGUAGCGGGCAGGAGGGGUGGCCGGCCAGAAGAGCCAGGGCACUAGCAUGGGGACUUUGGUCUGUUAAAGGUUUAUAUAGUGAUGGGGAUGCCCUAUGCCUGUAGGGGUGGAUGAGGGAAGAAAAGGUUUUUCCACGCAAACAGAAACCCACUUGGCAAGGUUCCUGAGGAAUGCCAAGUGCAAGCUUUAGUUUAUCCUGUUUACCUGGUCAGGGUCCAGCCUGAGCUCAGCCCAGGCUGGCUUUUAGGGCAUUGCUAAGGCACUGCCAUCUAGGGAGCCUGCUUUGGACCUAAGAGUCCAGGUGAGGACGUUAUGCCCUUUGUUGUCCUGGCGUGCUUGGUAUUUUAUUGGGCCUGACUUUCUGUUAUGUUCUUUGUACUUCCCCGUGCCCAGAUGUCCCCGUACAGUUAGGUGAGUUUAUAGGUAGUGCUUUUCUACUUUUGGGGAUGAGCUCUUAGCAGGCUGUGCCUCCUGUGAGGGCUUGGAAAAGUGGUGCUGUGCAUGUGUAAGGAAGAGGUACCUGCCUCUGUCUGAGCUCAGAAUGGAGCUAAAUGCUGCUUUGUGAAAUCAAAUCCCCAGGAAGCCAGGCACAUCCUGAGCACAUGGUGCUACACACUGGGGGGUAACAGAGCAGGUAGACCCUGGUCUCCACGUUAAGCUUCUCAUACUGCUCCCUAAGGAGGUAGGAUACAGUCACCCCGGGAUAACCCUGGGGCUGUGGUGGUGCCUGACUUUCUGUUUAAUCUCUGGCCACACCAUGCCCAGCUGCUUUGUUGAAAAACAAUAACCCAGGAUGUAAAUUGUUCUUCGAACCCAGGGUGUCAACUCUGACUCUUCGUAGGUAACCAUUUCUGAAGUCUACGUUAUUGCUCUUCCUGCCACUAGAGUCGUCUUUCCCCUCCUCCUCUGUGAUGCACCACAUCUCAAGUCGCUCUCCUUUUACCUUCCACAACUCCUGUGGUCCUCAGAGCCUGGGCUCAGACAUCUCUAAGCUUGACCGCAAUGACGCAGCUCUCUUUAAAAGAGAGCAGAAACUGUCAGUGUACAAACCCACUUUUAUCCCUGGGAAAAGCUUAUACUCCCAAAUCUCUGGUGCUUUGGACAGGGACAGUGCAAAGCUUCUGUGUCACUCAUAAUCUAGGACUGGGGUGAUGCUGGGAGGAGGAGGCUGCGGCCUCUGGUCCAACUGUUAGAAAUAAUCUCAGGGGCCCAGAGAGGAGACCACCCCAACUGCAGUGUCUCUGUAAGGCAGAACAUUCCUUCUGAGCAGAAGGUGCUUGAUUCACACAAACAGAAGAGUGACUGGUUUUAUUCUAAGAGAGGUGGUGACUGUGCCCCUUCCCCAUUGGCUAGGGUCCAACCUCACAGUCAUUCACAAUUGGCUAGAUUGAUAGACAGACAGACAAACAGACAGAGAAAAAAGAUGAGGGGGUGGUGGGGCUCAAGAGUUGGAGGACAUUUAUUUAAUGUAUGUAGAUGUAUUGUCUGCAUGUAUGCCUUUAUACCAACCACAUCCAUACCUUGUGUCCUCAGAGGCUAAAUGAGGGCACCAGAUCCUCUGGAACUGGAGUUGAACAAUUGUGGACUGCCAUGGUCCCAGGUCCCCUGCAAGAACUGCCAUGUUCCUAACUAAUCAUCGACCCCCCACCCACCCACCCCGCAGUUGGCUAACUUUAAAAGAAUUUGGAGGGGGGGGGCAGAUUGUCACAAAAGAAAAGAAACUGGGAAAGGGAGGGAGGGGUUGGCCACUUAAGUUCCAAGAAUACAGCAGGGCCUCUACGUAAAACAAACGGUACAGAUAAGGGAGAUUAAAACAUUUGCAUGAAGGUUUUACAACUUGGGAGAAAAAAGAUUUGUACUUCUUGCCUUAAAUGAAAGUUUUGGAAUGUUUGACAGAAAGGAUUAAUACCCCAUGUCCAUUUUGCUUUCGGCUUGUCUCUUCUGGCAUAGAACUGCCCUACACGGCACAGACAUGGGAGAGGGCAGCACACAGCCUCACAGAUAGAAGUACUGCCAUCCUGUGAGCUCAGGGAACCCUCAGCACUCGGGCGAGCGCAUCUAGACUGAGCCCAGACAAUGGGAAGCAGGACAAAAUCUGCCUCUUCCACAGCAUCCUGGGGCUCUGAGAGGCAGUGUCUGCACUGGAGUCCUCUCUGCUGGGCUGUGAUGUUGGAGAGGAAGAGUCUUGGUUCAGACCCCAGACACUUGCUAUUGGCAUGGAUUCAUAGAUUUCUUUUUUCUUCAAAUAAUUGUUUUUUCUUUUGCCAUUCUUCACUUAGGUCUAUUUCUAGAACCUUUAUAUGAUGUUUUUGGUUUGGUUAGGUUUGAUUUUAACGCAUUUCCAGGUUUCGAUUGAGAACAGAAUGUGUGGAGCUCUUAGGGGUGGCAUGUGGGAAAUGAGCCACUCAUCUCUCCUGUCCUCCUUGGGAAGCCCUAACUAAGAGCUGUCUUUCUGAUGGUGGGCAUGUCCUCAACAGAAAACCAUUGUGUCUUUACAUUGUGUCAGCAAGUGAAUACUGAAUGCAAGGUGUAAUUGUUCAAUGAUGGCUUUAUUAUUAAAUCCAUCUACCUCGGUAGCCUGGCCAGUCUUAAUUACUAUUUAAUUAUUAACUCUCAAAUCACACAGUAUACAGUAUGUAUAUGUCUCGCUCCCAGUGUGUGUGUGUGUGUGUGUGUGUGUGUGUGUGUCUGUGUGUGUGUCUGUGUGUGUGUCUGUGUGUCUUGUAUGUGUUACAGAGUGAAUACAAAUUAAAGAUGCUCUCACAGAGUGAGGAGGCCGUAGCAGUGAGCUGAGGAAGUCUGGAUAGAUACAAACUAUCAAUCCAGUGCUGAGAGGCAGCCGCUGGAGUCAGGUUCCAGAGCAAAGCUGCAGAGUGUGAUUGCAAAGGGAACAGGCCACGCUAGGCGAGGUCCAGAUGGGCACAUAGGUGGGCAAACGCUGGGGAGUAGGCUGCAUUAACAAUGGGGACCAGUCGAAUCUAGGAACCCUGGGUCCUUAAUGCACACACCUGGGAUUAGAGGAUCCAUUGGGAUUGGGGCCAUGGUAUUAUACUUUUAGGCAUCCAUAGAUUUAUGGGUACAGGUGAGGGAAUUAUACAUUUUCCUCAAUCUGGUGACUCCAAUAAAUUCUCGAGCCUGGUCUUCUCAAGAGAAUUUCAGUAUGUUCAUGUGCCCCCACAAUUUCAAUUCAUAUUCAUUCAUUCUCUCUCUAUUUUUAUAUUUACAAUUAUUUUAAUUUUAUUUAAUCUUUUUAAAUUAUUUAUUUAUUUAUUUUUACACUCCAGAGUUAUUCCCCUCCCAGUCCACCCCCAACUGAUCCACAUCCCAUACCUCCUCCCCAACCCUGUCUCCACAAGGAUGUCCCCACCCCACCCCACUCACCCC